rnacentral:rRNA from 1 species
CGCCUUUUGAAUUUUUAACAUAAAAGGUCCUGCCUGCCCAGUGACUCUGUUCAACGGCCGCGGUAUUAUGACCGUGCAAAGGUAGCGUAAUCACUUGUCUUUUAAAUAAAGACCAGUAUGAACGGCAAAACGAGGGCCUAACUGUCUCACUAGACCAGUCAGUGAAAUUGAUCUUCCAGUGCAGAAGCUGGAAUAUUUAUAUAAGACGAGAAGACCCUGUGGAGCUUUAAGCCUAAGCUAAUAUAUACUAUAUUAUAGCACCAGGCUUUGGGUUGGGGCGACCAUAAGAAAAACAAACUCUUAAGACAUUAACAAGAAGGACACUUCAAACAAAUAGUAAUACUAAUACAUUGACCCAAUAUUUGAUCAACGAACCAAGUUACCCCAGGGAUAACAGCGCAAUCCACUCACAGAGCCCAUAUCGACGAGCGGGUUUACGACCUCGAUGUUGGAUCAGGACUACCUAAUGGUGCAACAAUUAUUAAAGGUUCGUUUGUUCAACGAUUAAAGUCCU